UACAGAGGUCCCCAAGCGUUGUUCGGAUUCACUGGGCGUAAAGGGUGCGUAGGUGGCAGGACAAGUCGGAUGUGAAAUCUCCAGGCCUAACCUGGAAACUGCAUUGGAAACUGUCUUGCUAGAGGGUUUGAGGGGGGAUUGGAAUACUUGGUGUAGCAGUGAAAUGCGUAGAUAUGCGGAGGAACACCGAUGGCGAAGGCAAUCCCCUGGGCCUGCACUGACGCUCAUGCACGAAAGCGUGGGGAGCAAACAGGAUUAGAAACCCCAGUAGU
rnacentral:rRNA from 1 species